rnacentral:rRNA from 2 species
UGGGCGUAAGCGCGCGCAGGCGGUCCUUUAAGUCUGAUGUGAAAGCCCACGGCUCAACCGUGGAGGGUCAUUGGAAACUGGGGGACUUGAGUGCAGAAGAGGAAAGCGGAAUUCCACGUGUAGCGGUGAAAUGCGUAGAGAUGUGGAGGAACACCAGUGGCGAAGGCGGCUUUCUGGUCUGUAACUGACGCUGAGGCGCGAAAGCGUGGGGAGCAAACAGGAUUAGAUACCCUGGUAGUCCACGCCGUAAACGAUGAGUGCUAAGUGUUAGAGGGUUUCCGCCCUUUAGUGCUGCAGCUAACGCAUUAAGCACUCCGCCUGGGGAGUACGGCCGCAAGGCUGAAACUCAAAGGAAUUGACGGGGGCCCGCACAAGCGGUGGAGCAUGUGGUUUAAU